rnacentral:rRNA from 1 species
GACGAACGCUGGCGGCGUGCUUAACACAUGCCAGUCGAACGGAAAGGCCCUGCUUUUGUGGGGUGCUCGAGUGGCGAACGGGUGAGUAACACGUGAGUAACCUGCCCUUGACUUUGGGAUAACUUCAGGAAACUGGGGCUAAUACCGGAUAGGAGCUCCUGCUGCAUGGUGGGGGUUGGAAAGUUUCGGCGGUUGGGGAUGGACUCGCGGCUUAUCAGCUUGUUGGUGGGGUAGUGGCUUACCAAGGCUUUGACGGGUAGCCGGCCUGAGAGGGUGACCGGCCACAUUGGGACUGAGAUACGGCCCAGACUCCUACGGGAGGCAGCAGUGGGGAUUAUUGCACAAUGGGCGGAAGCCUGAUGCAGCAACGCCGCGUGCGGGAUGACGGCCUUCGGGUUGUAAACCGCUUUCGCCUGUGACGAAGCGUGAGUGACGGUAAUGGGUAAAGAAGCACCGGCUAACUACGUG